rnacentral:rRNA from 1 species
UCUGGAGACCAUAGCACUGUGGCACCACCUGAUCCCAUUCCGAACUCAGAAGUGAAACGCAGUCGCGCCGAUGGUAGUGUGGGGUUUCCCCAUGCGAGAGUAGGUCAUCUCCAGAC